rnacentral:rRNA from 1 species
GGAUCAUUACUGAGUUUAUAAUUCUUUCCUUUUUGUAAAAAAGGAGGAAAGAAUGAAAAAUCUCCCACACAUUGUUUAAAGAUUUUAACUCUUUUUUUUGAGAGGUGGAUUUCAUCUUUUUUGAUGAAUCUGUUUAACAAAAAAAGAGGUUUUAUACUCUCUAUCUUCCUGAAGAUAUAGUUAAAACAAAAAAAAUCAAUUUAAAAACAUUAAAACUUUCAACAACGGAUCUCUUGGUUCUGGCAUCGAUGAAGAACGCAGCGAAAUGCGAUAAGUAAUGUGAAUUGCAGAAUUUAGUGAAUCAUCGAAUCUUUGAACGCACAUUGCACCUUUUGGUAAUCCUUAAGGUAUACCUGUUCGAGCGCCGUUUAUGUAUUAAGGCUUUGCCUUGUGUUGAUUUUAAUCGAUCAAGAUUAAAUCGAAACUAAUUGGCGUACAUUUUUAUGAGAAGCUUGCAGCAAAAUGUAAUCAUUAUCAAAAAAAUGAACAGCCUGAUUGUUUUUAUUCAAGCAUGGCCUCGGAUCAGGUAGGGAUACCCGCUGAACUUAAGCAUAUCAAUAA